rnacentral:rRNA from 1 species
GACGAACGCUGGCGGCGUGCUUAACACAUGCAAGUCGAACGGAAAGGCCCUGCUUUUGUGGGGUGCUCGAGUGGCGAACGGGUGAGUAACACGUGAGUAACCUGCCCUUGACUUUGGGAUAACUUCAGGAAACUGGGGCUAAUACCGGAUAGGAGCUCCUGCUGCAUGGUGGGGGUUGGAAAGUUUCGGCGGUUGGGGAUGGACUGGCGGCUUAUCAGCUUGUUGGUGGGGUAGUGGCAUACCAAGGCUUUGAAGGGUAGCCGGGCUGAGAGGGUGACCGGCCACAUUGGGCUGGGGAUACGACACAGACUCGUAUGGGAGGCAGCGGAGGGGAAUAGUACACAAUGGGCGGAAGGCUGACGCAGCACAGCCGCGUGGGGGAUGAGAGCCUGGGGGUAGGAUACUGCUUCUGCCUUAGACGAGGCGUUAGUGACGGUACUGGGAAAAGAAGCACCGGCUAACUACGUG